rnacentral:rRNA from 1 species
GCGCAGCAGGCGAGAAACUUUACAAUGUGCGAAAGCACGAUAAGGGAACUCUGAGUGCCUCCUAAGGAGGCUGUUCAGGUGUCUAAAAGCACCUGAAGGAAGGGCCGGGUAAGACCGGUGCCAGCCGCCGCGGUAACACCGGCAGCCCAAGUGGUAGCCACGUUUAUUGGGUCUAAAGCGUCCGUAGCCGGCUGGGUAAGUUCCUUGGGAAAUUUGGCUGCUUAACAGUCAAGCUUUCAGGGAAUACUGCCCGGCUUGGGACCGGGAGAGGUCAGAGGUACUCCAGGGGUAGGGGUGAAAUCCAUUAAUCCUUGGGGGACCACCGGUAGCGAAGGCGUCUGACCAGACCGGGUCCGACGGUGAGGGACGAAGGCUAGGGGCGCGAACCGGAUUAGAUACCCCUGUAGU